GUUAACAGUUACAUAGCGUAUAUAAUAGUCCACCACUAACACGACAGGUCAAGGUGUAGCCAAUGGGCGGGACAGCGAUGGGCUACAUUUUCUUCACUAGAAAACACCCAACAUGUAAUGAAAACUCCACAUAAAGGCGGAUUUAGCAGUAAGCAGCAGCAAGGCAAGCUCACCUGAAACCUCACAUGAGAUGUGUACACACCGCCCGUCACCCUCCUCAAAACACAUUUAAACGUAACUAACCCACCUACAAGAUAAAGAUGAGAUAAGUCGUAACAUGGUAAGCGUACUGGAAAGUGUGCUUGGCCC
rnacentral:rRNA from 1 species